CCCAGGAGCAGCUCAAGGAGCAGGGAGAUGGAGAUAGAGAAUUUAAACCUUGCUCACAAGACUCCUCAGAACCUCUCAAAGAAGAAAGUGAUGACCUAUCACGAAUAAAGAAAUAACUGCUUGAAGACAGCCUAAGGGAAAAUGGGGAUAAGACUCCUCGGAGACUGACAGAAUGCCUACCCUGCCGUUUAUUGUGACCUCCCCCAGCCCACUGUUCUCAAGAAUAUCAGUCAGCAACCUGAUCCGCCCACCUUCUGAAGAGCAAGAAGAACCAGUUUCCAGCCUUCAGAGGAGGGACUUGACCUGCCUUUGUAUCUUGGGAGAGAGGGAUUAAAGAUGGAGAGCUGA